AGGACGAACGCUGGCGGCGUGCUUAACACAUGCAAGUGGAGCGACGAACCAGGGCUUGCCCUGGGGCAGAGCCGCGAACGGGUGAGUAACACGUGGGUUACCUGCCUCGAUGACCGGGACAACCCGAGGAAACUCGGGCUAAUACCGGAUGUGCCCGCAAGGGGAAAGGAAGCUUCGGCCUCCGCAUCGAGAUGGGCCCGCGGCCCAUUAGCUUGUUGGUGGGGUAACGGCCUACCAAGGCGACGACGGGUA
rnacentral:rRNA from 1 species